AGUGGAUGGGGAGCAACCUAGUUGCGCGUGUGUAAAGGUAGUGCCAAGAAAAGCGAUGAUCAUGUUGAAAAUCAAUUCCCGGUACCCGAAACCGACACAGGUGGGCAAGUAGAGAAUACUAAGGGGCGCGAGGUAACUCUCUCCAAGGAACUCGGCAAAAUGACCCCGUAACUUAGGGAGAAGGGGUGCCACCGAGAGGUGGUCGCAGUGAAGAGGCCCAGGCGACUGUUUAGCAAAAACAUAGGUCUCUGCAAACUCGAAAGAGGAGGUAUAGGGGCUGACGCCUGCCCAGUGCCGGAAGGUUAAAGAAGUUGGUCAGUUUUAGGAUGAAGCUAGCGACUGAAGCCCCGGUGAACGGCGGCCGUAACUAUAACGGUCCUAAGGUAGCGAAAUUCCUUGUCGGGUAAGUUCCGACCCGCACGAAAGGCGUAACGAUCUGGGCGCUGUCUCGGAGAGAGGCUCGGCGAAAUAGGAUUGUCUGUGAAGAUACGGACUACCUGCAUUUGGACAGAAAGACCCUAUGAAGCUUUACUAUAGCUUGGAAUUGUGUUCGGGCUUCCUGUGCGCAGGAUAGGUGGGAGGCGUAGAAGGUAUUCUUGUGGGGAUACUGGAGCCAACGGUGAGAUACCACUCUCAGGAGGCUAGAAUUCUAACUUAAUUAAGGACAGUUUCAGGUGGGUAGUUUGACUGGGGCGGUCGCCUCCAAAAAGGUAACGGAGGCGUACAAAGGUUCCCUCAGACUGGUUGGAAAUCAGUCGAAGAGUGCAAAGGCAGAAGGGAGCUUGACUGCGAGAAGUACAGUUCGAGCAGGGUGGAAACACGGUCUUAGUGAUCCGACGGUGCUGUGUGGAAGGGCCGUCGCUCAACGGAUAAAAGUUACUCUAGGAUAACAGGCUGAUCUCCCCCAAGAGUUCACAUCGACGGGGAGGUUUGGCACCUCGAUGUCGGCUCAUCGCAACCUGGGGCGGAAGUACGUCCCAAGGGUUGGGCUGUUCGCCCAUUAAAGCGGUACGUGAGCUGGGUUCAGAACGUCGUGAGACAGUUCGGUCCAUAUCCGAUGUAGGCGUGAGAAUAUUGAGAGGAGCCUUCCUUAGUACGAGAGGACCGGGAAGGACGCACCGCUGGUGUACCUGUUAUGAUGCCAAUUGUAAACGCAGGGUAGCCAAGUGCGGAGAGGAUAACCGCUGAAAGCAUCUAAGUGGGAAGCCCACCUCAAGAUGAGUAUUCUGGUGUAAGGUCACGGGAAGACGACCCGUAAAUAGGCACGAGGUGGAAGUGCAGAGAUGUAUGAAGCCGAAGUGUACUAAUAGACCGUCGGCUUGACC
rnacentral:rRNA from 1 species